UACGGAGGGAGCUAGCGUUAUUCGGAAUUACUGGGCGUAAAGCGCACGUAGGCGGCUUUGUAAGUUAGAGGUGAAAGCCUGGAGCUCAACUCCAGAACUGCCUUUAAGACUGCAUCGCUUGAAUCCAGGAGAGGUGAGUGGAAUUCCGAGUGUAGAGGUGAAAUUCGUAGAUAUUCGGAAGAACACCAGUGGCGAAGGCGGCUCACUGGACUGGUAUUGAACGCUGAGGUGCGAAAGCGUGGGGAGCAACAGGGAUUGA
rnacentral:rRNA from 1 species